GAGUUUGAUCGUGGCUCAGAUUGAACGCUGGCGGCAUGCCUUACACAUGCAAGUCGAACGGCAGCACGGGAGCUUGCUCCUGGUGGCGAGUGGCGAACGGGUGAGUAAUGCAUCGGAACGUAUCCUGGAGUGGGGGAUAACGUAGCGAAAGUUACGCUAAUACCGCAUAUUCUAUGAGCAGGAAAGCGGGGGACCUUCGGGCCUCGCGCUCUUGGAGCGGCCGAUGUCGGAUUAGCUAGUUGGUGAGGUAAAGGCUCACCAAGGCGACGAUCCGUAGCAGGUCUGAGAGGAUGAUCUGCCACACUGGAACUGAGACACGGUCCAGACUCCUACGGGAGGCAGCAGUGGGGAAUUUUGGACAAUGGGGGCAACCCUGAUCCAGCCAUGCCGCGUGAGUGAAGAAGGCCUUCGGUGUAAGACGUCUUCGUCGACGG
rnacentral:rRNA from 1 species